GGUCUCCCCAGCAGAGUGGAUUUAAAAUCAGCAGCAAGCGGAGGAAUCACUAAUAAAUAUAAAUCCAGGUGUUAAGACGGCGCCGGAAUAGGAUGGAAACCAAGGAAAGAAAAGAUGAUCACCAUUUCCAGACCCUAUCCGCCAUAACCAGCACAGAGAACAAGCCCCCCCGCAGUGCUGAUGAGUGAGAAUAUGCAGCCUUCCUGUUAGCGGGCACACACUGCACUGCCUCGCCUCCUUGUGAGUGCUGACUCUUCAGAGCGCUCUCUUCCUCCUCAUCUCUAUGGCCGGGUCCAGUCAGCCUUCCCCUGCAGCGAUGAACCCUCACAAAGUUUAUUCUGCCAUGCUGGCUGUAGUGCCUCGGGACUCUGCGCACAUAGCGCCUUGUUGUGAAAGCCAACGUCUUUUUUCAAUUGUUUUCAAUGAGGAUAUGCCUUCUCCAGAAAAAGUGCUGCAUCCAGGUUUUUUUUUUAACACUUGGCUUUUUUUGUGCAGCCGCUCCGAGCACUCCAAGAUUAAUAUUUUUCAACUUUUCAGAAAAAUAGCAAAUAACGUCACUAUAUAAAUUGGAGAAGAAGCUUGUAUUUGCCAUUUCUUUUAGAUGGAAACUAUGAUAACAAAGAUCAAUCAUACACAUUGUUGAUGGCAAUAAACAUCCAUUUGGUUAUCAUUGGGAGAAAACAAUGUCAAACAAUUAUAAAGAAGCAGAAAUAGAUAAUAAAAGGCGAGGGUGCAAACCCAGUCAGAAAGCACAUUUUCAAAAGUGCUUGGAGCUUCUUCUUUUUUUAUUAAACACUGGGAGGAGGCCCUGCCUGCGCCUUCCUGCCAGAACAUGUUCUAUGUGGGCCUAAGAGCAGCUAAUUUCCCCCGAUCAUACCCUCCAGACGUCUCCUUUGUUAUAAAGAAUCCAAAGCCCUCAGUGCUUUAGAUCUUCAGACUAACAGCGUAAUACUUGAACCGUCUAUAGCUGUGAACGCUGCAUAACGUUUUCAUUAGUCGAACCACGUACAGCAAUAAGAUAGUUGGCAAAGUUGUGAGCGGAAGAGAUGAACUCAGGGGACUGACAGCCUCUGCAUGUCUAUGAUGAGUGAUUAUCCAGUCAAGGAUGAUUUUUAAUCAAGAUCAUUUUCUUGCCUUCAAUGAUGUUGCAGUAAUGAUCAGCUCUCUCAGACAGGUGGCAUGCUGCAGGCAGAACAGUGUUUCAGAUGCUCAUCAAUAAUAAACUCACUAACAGUCUCUUUGCAUCAGAGAGCGCUAACAGGUGUGCUGGAAUUAAACAAAGGUCUCUGAUACAGUGGUAUAAUGUCUUCUGUGGAUCUGUCUAAAUUCCUAACGAUGCAAUUGUGAUUUUUUUCUUGCAGGAUAAAACAAUGUAAUUGGUUGCAUUAUGGGAAAUGUAGUGCUUUGAUCUUGACCCUUCCUUGAUACAUAUGGUGAUAAUAUAAGCCUCUGCUGCUUAUGACUUUGAUUAAUUUGUUUUGAGCAAUAUGUUUCGUAAAUUAAUGGAACUUUGCUCCUUUACCUGGAUAUUACUUAAAUAAGAUAUUUUUCAAACUCACAACAAAAAGGCAAGCUAUGUUGCAAUAAAAGGCACCAAAUAUCCAGAAAACCUGUAAUAUGUGAUGUGUUUUGGUUAUAUAACCCUAACCCCUAACCCUUUCUUAAAUGUCACUUUUUAUUUCCCGAUUAUGCUUUUUUUGGUGUCCCCUCCUGUAGUGUGUUCUAUAGGUUUUUGUGAAUUUAAAUGGUCUGCAAAGACUACAAUCCCUGUGUUCCCUCCAGAGGAAGUUUCUCUCCAAAACAC